rnacentral:rRNA from 1 species
AUGCUCAAACGGGUGGGCUGCCCUGCCGCUUUGUGCUUCAUUCUCCUUUCUUUUUUGGAUGGAUUUGGAGGGAAGCCGCGUCUUCCUCCUUUCACUCCGGAAAACCCCACUGCUCUCCGUCUCGCUCUAAAGAAAAGAAACCCUACCCCGUCGCUGCUGCCGGGCGGCCGCCACCCACACCGUGCCCCGUCCGGCCGUCCCCGUUCGGGCUCUCGGCUUUCGCUCUACCCAGCAGGCCGGCAACCUUCCCCUUCCGUCUCCUUCGUUGCUUCCCCAAGCAAUUACCCCGGCUGGUGUCGACCCCCUUCGAUCUCGAGGAGGAGCAACCCCGGCGCCCUGCGCCCUUCGGCAUUCCGCCUCAGCAGCAGCAGCAACAAAGUUUCUCGCCCGGGGCGUCAGCCAGUCCUGGCUCUACAGAUGGGCGCCGCCGCAGGAGCUCUGCGAAAGACGGUGGUGGACGGUUCCGGGGAUGAGGAGGAAGAGGAGCAGCAGUGCCGCAUCUGCCGCCACCCCGCCGAGCCGGAGCGCCCCCUGUGCCACCCCUGUGCCUGCCGUGGCAGCAUCCGCUUUGUCCAUGACGACUGCCAGCUCCAGCGGCUCUCCACCACCCGCCAGCGCCGCUGCGAGGUGUGCGGACAGGAGAUCUCCAUCCGCCCCAUCCACGGCGCGGAUGCCUCAGCCCUGGCAAGGCUUGCCAGUCUCAUCACUGUUGUGCCUCAUCCUGACAGUCAAGGUUGCCUGGGAGCUCACCAGCCUGCACCUAUGGUGCCUCGCCCUCGCCAGGAGCUGCGCCGAGGCCUUCCGUCUGCUCUCCGUCUGCCCCUUUGA